ACUCUACUUACUUUGAGGCCUUGAAAUUAGGAUUGACAAAUUCUUUCCGGAUCUUAUUUCCAUACCAGGAGUAUGCAAUCAUGGCACAAAACCCUGUAAGAGAAUGCUGUUAGCUUAGCAUAAAUACUCUGGACACUAGGGGGGGGGUUACUUUGGGAAUCACAUACCUGCGACCAUGUAGUUUAUUCCUGCUGCGAAAGUGACUCUUGUAUUGGCAACAUCUGACCCGCCGAUCUUGGUGCACUUCAUUCCCACCAGGGAGAGAACAGCUCCGAAGAAGCUCAGUAUGAUGGCCAUGAUGACGAGAGCUCGGCACAUGUGGAUGUUCACUAGUGACGGGGGGGCACACACGUUCCACAUCCCAACUGCGCUCAGAAAUUAUGUAGCUGAAUAACCAGGUGGCUGCGGAAAUGUGCCGAUUCAGGGCAAAAUAAUGCUAAUGCGUCAGUUCGUGCGGCAACUCGAAUUUCUGCAUGCGAAGAUGUCAUGUUGCCCUUCUGGUGGAAAUGUCACUGAAGUACAACUUGUUUUAUGAAAUGUAUACAAAGUUUACAACCACAGGCCUUUAACAUAAGGGAUUUGACUUCAUUAACUUGUGAUGAACACAGAAUGAGAUGAAAUGUAUUAUUUUUACAGUUUUGUUUCUUUAAUGUAAGUUAAUUGCAUCACAGGUUUUUUUUGUCACAGGCUACUGUGUCAUAAGGUGGACAUAAGUGUGUCAUAAGGUGGACAUAAGUGUGUCAUAAGGUGGACAUAAGUGCUUACUGGUUUCAAGCAUUUAUUGGCCUUCAACACCAAGGUCUUUGACAAGCUGGUACUUCAUAUAUGAGCUCUAAUGAAUCUCAGUAUAAAUGCAGUUUCAUGCUCCCCGGUCGCCCAGAGGAGGAUGGGGUCCCCUUCCGACUCUAGGUUCGUCUCAAGGUUUCUUCCUGCUAAAGGGAGUUUUCCUUGCCACUGUCGCCUCAGGCUUGCUUGGUGGGGUUCUGGCCGGUUAAAUGUAAAGUGCUUUGUGACAAUGACUGUUGUUAAAAGCGCUAUAUAAAUAAAAUUGAAUUGAACUGAA